AUUCUAAGCACACACUCACCUUCAACUCCCAGAAAGACUUGACUUCACCGGACUCCUUCAUCAAACUCGACUCCCUAGAAUAUGGUUGGCUGAUUCCCUGGAGCUCCAGCUGAAGCUCUGAGGAUCUUGCAUUUCAUUACUGAGCACUGUUCUUCAGAAACAGAUGGGAAUCAAUGUGUUCAGAUCAUUUCAAAACCAGAUGUCCAUCCUGGUGAGAAGCUUCUGACCCCUUAAUAUUUAAC